UGCUGGGGCUGGGUCGGGCUCCGUGGCGCGUGGGGCCUGGCGAGUUCUGUGGAGUUGGAUCUGCCCUCGUAGGGUGAGGGCACCCGAGUUUAAGGUACCCCGAGACCUGUCGCUGCGCAGGGCCUGAGUGGAAGAGCGUUUUCCCAAGCCCUGAGGAACAGAAAUGAGUAAAAGGUGGCCAACUAGGAGACGACAUGGGAGAAGAAUCUAUCAGCAGAACCCUUGGUUCAGACUACGCAAUUCUAACGAGAGGCAUGACUCAGGAGCACUGCAGAGCACUCAGGAUUCUGGUCCAGGUGAUGAUGAGUCCCCAUCAACCUCAUCUGGUGUAGCUGGAAGUUCUUCUGCGCCAGACCUACCAGGGUAUUACUUCGACCCUGAAAAGAAACGCUACUUUCGCUUGCUUCCUGGACAUAACAACUGCAACCCCCUUACGAAUGAGAGCAUCCGGCAUAAGGAAAUGGAGAAAAAAAGACUGCAGCUGCUCGAGGAAGAGGACAAGCAGAAAAAGAAAAUAGCCAGAUUGGGAUUUAAUGCAUCUUCCAUGCUGCGAAAAAGCCAGCUGGGUUUUCUCAGUGUCACCAGUUAUUGCCGUUUAGCCCAUGAGCUGCGUGUGAGCUGCAUGCAAAGGAAGAAGGUCCACAUUCACAGCUCGGAUCCCUCUGCUUUGGCAAGCGACCAAUUUAACCUCAUACUGGCGGAUACCAACAGUGACCGGCUCUUCACAGUGAACGAUGUCAAAGUUGGAGGCUCCAAGUACGGCAUCAUCAACCUGCGCGGUCUGAAGACCCCCUCACUCAGGGUGCACAUGCACGAAAACCUCUACUUCACCAACCGGAAGGUGAAUUCUGUGUGCUGGGCUUCGCUGAAUCACUUGGAUUCCCACAUUCUGCUGUGCCUCAUGGGACUUGCAGAGACUCCAGGCUGUGCCACCCUGCUCCCAGCGUCACUGUUCGUCAGUAGUCACCCAGCAGGAGUGGACCGGCCUGGCAUGCUCUGCAGUUUCCGGAUCCCUGGUGCCUGGUCCUGUGCAUGGUCCCUGAACAUCCAGGCAAAUAACUGCUUCAGUACAGGCUUGUCUCGGCGUGUCCUGCUAACCAAUGUGGUGACGGGGCACCGGCAGUCGUUUGCGACCAGCAGUGAUGUCUUGACCCAGCAGUUUGCUCUCUUGGCUCCUUUGCUGUUUAAUGGCUGUCGCUCCGGGGAGAUCUUUGCCAUUGAUCUGCGUUGUGGAAACCAAGGCAAGAGGUGGAAAGCCACCCGCCUGUUCCAGGACUCAGCAGUGACCUCUGUGCAAAUCCUCCAAGAAGAGGAAUGUGUGAUGGCAUCAGACAUGGCUGGAAAGAUCAAGCUGUGGGACCUGAGGGCCAUGAAGUGUAUAAGGCAGUACGAAGGCCACGUGAAUGAGUAUGCCUACCUGCCCUUGCACGUGCAUGAGGAAGAAGGAAUCGUGGUGGCAGUCGGCCAGGACUGCUACACAAGAAUCUGGAGCCUCCAUGAUGCCCAGCUCCUCAGAACCAUACCCUCUCCGUACCCCACCUCCAAAGCCGACAUUCCCAGCGUGGCCUUCUCUUCACGGCUUGGGGGCUUUCGGGGAGCGCCAGGGCUGCUUAUGGCUGUCCAGCGGGACCUUUAUUGUUUCUCCUACAGCUAAUUCUGCAGGGUGCAGCCAGGAGGAAUGUGGAUUGACUUAGGGAAGUAAAGAGUGGCUUAUUACUGUUUCUAAUGAGGGCAUUUUAAAUGACACAGAUCCCAUCCAUCUGGCUGCUGGGGGCAAGGUGCUGAGUGUUUUAUGUGGAGACACUUCAGCAAAGUUGUUUCAGUUAAAUAGUGUGCUCAGAAGCUUGAAAGUCCUUUUCAUAAAAGGUACCUCUUUCCUUUUCUUGUUGAAUUCCUUAGAGUAGUGUCUGUCCCCCUUUUUUUGUUUAACAGAAAAACCUACAUCCAAGGACUGAAGGUUGGUGAAAACUAUAGUAACCAAAUUAAAGCUGCUGCUCUCACCGCAAGCUGUUUGGGAGAAGCCUAAUGCUGAGACCGGUCACUAGGAAUACCUAUUUUAAACCUAGAAAUGACAAAUGAGGAGUAAUACCCAGUCUCUGCCACUGAGAGAAGAGUCUCCCCACGCCAUGACCUUGAUAUGACAGCUACAGUGUGGCACUCAGAGAAGCCAAGCCACAAAACCGCUUCCCGAGCUGCGCGCACCCGCCUCGCUGCCCACCCCGGGCCAGGCCAGCGCAGCCCAGCCUGUGCUGCGGCUCCCACCCAACACUCACCCCCACUGGGGGAAGGCCAAGGAACAGCCACAUACAGGACGCCUAUGUGAUGAGUGAGCACUUGUGGAACCGUACAGUCGCUAGAAAAAAUCCUGUGACCAAUCAGCUCUCAUCUCUUCUAAAUAAAGGAAUAUUCAUGACAAUCCACAAAGUUCUGGUCCCAGUAAGCAGACUGAUCAGGGACAUGCCAUCUACCUAAAAGCUGGGGGGGAACAAUCUGUUGUCAUGAGAUUAAAACCCACUCCAUAUGACAAUGGAUUUGUGGUAUUUUGCAAUGCUUUUUCUUAAAGUUAUGUGUCAGAAU